AUGAGAGGAAAAUUUUAUGUAAGAAAAGUGCUACACAUUAACUCUGGCACUCGAAUUGACACCAAUAUGUCCAAUUAGCUAAUUUUGAAAAAAAUCCAAGGGUACCCCCUUUGUUGAUUUUAUGUCAAAAGUUU
rnacentral:lncRNA from 1 species